GCUGAAGCUGUCGGUCGGUGCUGAAAAGAAAUCUACUCUACAAAUAUUCUUCAUAUUCUCCAGAAGAGAUAUUAAAGAUCACCAUGAAGCUGCUGAUUGUGUUUGCGCUUCUUUGUGUAAUGAUGCCUCUGAUCAUUACUGCUCAAAAAUCAGGCAGCAGUGGAGCAGAGGAUAAGCCAUCAGAAGAGCAUGUUGUUGAGAAGAGAUGUACUUGGGGCAGAUGUUGCACUACAUGGCCACGGAGAUGCAGAGGGCGACGGGGGAAAGACAUGAACGAAUGAUAUAUGUACGGUCACCACUGAUACCGAUUUUGUCUGGGUCUGAAAAAGAAGAUGAUUCCUGGUCUUCCAUGAAAAGCAUGGGCCAUCAGACAAAGAAGCAAAUACUUUCAUCCAACUCCCUGAACUAUCAGUUUCCCCUUUUACAUCUUUACUUAUCUUCUUUCGCUGUAUUGCUGCAUAAAGAAUGAAGCAACAGGUGACACAAACUGGAGUGGACUGGAUUGUGUCUUUUAAUCGCAAAAACUAUUCAUUUCUGUUCUUAUUAUCUUCAUCAUUAAACUCUU